GUUUUUCGCUCUAAGAUGAGUCCGCGUAAGAUUAGCUAGUUGGUGAGGUAACGGCUCACCAAGGCGACGAUCUUUAACUGGUCUGAGAGGAUGAUCAGUCACUGGAACUGAGACACGGUCCAGACUCCUACGGGAGGCAGCAGUAGGGAAUAUUGCACAAUGGAGGAAACUCUGAUGCAGCGACGCCGCGUGAGUGAUGAAGGCCUUCGGGUCGUAAAGCUCUGUCGCAGGGGAAUAACACAAUG
rnacentral:rRNA from 1 species